UACGUAGGGUGCAAGCGUUGUCCGGAAUUAUUGGGCGUAAAGAGCUCGUAGGCGGCUUGUCGCGUCGGCUGUGGAAAACCUGGGGCUCAACCCCGGGCCUGCAGCCGAUACGGGCAAGCGUAGAAUUCGGUAGGGGAGACUGGAAUUCCUGGUGUAGCGGUGAAAUGCGCAGAUAUCAGGAGGAACACCGGUGGCGAAGGCGGGUCUCUGGGCCGAAAUUGACGCUGAGGAGCGAAAGCGUGGGAGCAAACAGG
rnacentral:rRNA from 1 species